AAUUGAAUUCUUUUCUCAGCGUCUCAGACUCUUACUCUCUCAACUCUCAAGUCUCAGCCGGCCAUUUAAUUUAGACUACUGCAGUGCUCGGUCCUUCACUCCUUCUCCACUCCAGUUCUCCUUCUCGUCCUUACUCAGUUACUCUAUACCUUAGACUCGAACUCUCAGAAGUCAGACCUUAGUACUCUCUUUGUCUCUCAGUCCUCACCUCAGAUUAAAUCUCUGAUCUCUCUCAUCUCAAGACUCAAGUCUCGACUGCCUCGUCGUCUUCUCGAACUCUCAGUCUCAGAGUCUCAGAUCUGAGAUCUCUCAAGCCUCAAGUGUCGAAUUCUCGAACUCUCGGCGCCGGCGACCCUUCAUCGUUCAUCGUGAACUCUCGAACUCUCAGAUCUCGGCGCCGGCGACGGUGACAGCUUUCCAUUUGUUAAGGUAAUUGUGUCUGUGCAUGUGUAAUUUCUGAGGUUUUGAAAAGAAAUUAGAAAAAAGUUGAUACUCUGUUUUUGUUCCUUAAUUUCUCAGGAAAAAGUUGAUACUAUGUCUUUGUUCCUUAAUUUCUCAGGAAAAAAUUGAUACUCCAGUAGUUGCUGAAUAGCGACGUGAUGAUUGUGUAUUUUAUUUGUACAUAUAGUUUUCUCCUUAUCUGUUUUCAUACUUGAGAAUUGAGAUUGAUGAGUGAGGAGUACUGAAAUUUGAGUCAUUUUGAUCUGAACUAGGCUGCCGCCUCAUACAUGAUACAACAGAGGUUUUGCCCCAUUGGUGUGUGUUUUUUUUCUUGCUCUAAUUUCAAUUCUUUCUUGCUCUAAUUUCUUUCUUCCACAAAAACUUUUCCAAUUGAAUCUACAUGAAGAAUGACAGCUGAACACUUGAGUACAUUACUGAAACCUGCAAGAAAGAAAAAAUCCAAUAGUUCAAAACAUAACCUUUUUGGGUAUAUAAAGCAAAGAGGAAGUAAAUCAUUAAAACAACAAAAAUAAUAGUAUAAUAUAAUAUAAAAACCCACUGUACAUAAUGAAGAAGUUAAAAUGGUUAUCCAAAUUGCACAUUGACUGUUGUAACUGAUGUAGUUUCUUUCUUUUUAUUCAUUGCAGUUUGGAAGUUGGCUCAGUUGUCUCAUGCUCAUUGACUGUUGUUGCAGUUUGGAAGUUUGCUGUUGAGUGUCUCAGUCAGUCAGUUGGUGUUGGAUCAUUCAUGUUUUUGUAAUUUGUCUUGUUGGAUCAUUUCUGUUUUUGUUAUUGCUGUUGGUAUUGUCUCAGUUGGUGUUGGAUCAGUUGGUGACUUGGUGUCGGUCCUGUUGGUGACUUGGUGUCUCAUACUCUCAUUCAUGUUUUUGUUAUUGCUCUUGGUGUUGGUCUGUUGGAUCAGUUGGUGACUUGGUGUUGUCUCAGUUGUCUCAAGACUCUCAGUUGGUGUUGUCCUGUUAGAUCUUUUGGAUGUCUUGUUGAAUGUUGAAUUGUUGAUUGUUGUUGAUUCAGAUUAUGUUGUUUUUUUAUUGAUGUUGGAUCAUUCAUGUAAUCAUGUUGUGCACUGUUAAGCUAAGCAAAGUAAGAGUAAACUGUUAAAUUCGGUUAUUAACCGAAUAACCGAAUAAUUAGUUCGGUUAUUCGGUUAUCGUGUAAUUCGGCUAGUUGUUCGGAUACUCAAAAUAGUGCAAAUUCGGUUUUCGGUUAUAACCGAAAUGUGUGUUCGGUUCGGUUAUUAACCGAAUGCUCACUCCUACUGAAAGGUGGUGAUGGGUGGUGGUAGUAAAAGGUGG
rnacentral:lncRNA from 1 species